CCUACGGGAGGCAGCAGUGGGGAAUAUUGGGCAAUGGGCGCAAGCCUGACCCAGCAACGCCGCGUGAAGGAAGAAGGCUUUCGGGUUGUAAACUUCUUUUCUCAGGGACGAAGCAAGUGACGGUACCUGAGGAAUAAGCUACGGCUAACUACGUGCCAGCAGCCGCGGAAAUACGUGGGUGGCAAGCCGUAUCCGGAUGUGCUGGGUGUAAAGGGCGUGUAGGCGGGACAGCAAGUCAGAUGUGAAAACCACGGGCUCAACCUGUGGCCUGCAUUUGAAACUGGUUUACUUGAGUUCUGGAGAGGCAGACGGAAUUCCUAGUGUAGCGGUGAAAUGCGUAGAUAUUAGGAGGAACACCAGUGGCGAAGGCGGUCUGCUGGACAGCAACUGACGCUGAGGAGCGAAAGCGUGGGGAGCAAACAGGAUUAGAUACCCGUGUAGUC
rnacentral:rRNA from 1 species